CCUACGGGAGGCAGCAGUGAGGAAUAUUGGUCAAUGGACGGAAGGCUGAACCAGCCAUGCCGCGUGAAGGACAGCGGCCUAGGGGCGUUAAACUUCUUUUGUUCGGGAGCAAUAAUGGUCCCGUUUGGCCAGUCGAGAGUUCCGUUCGAAUUAGCACCGGCCUACUCCGCUUCAGCCGCCGCGGGUAAUCGGGGGGUGCAAGUGUUUGCCGGGAUUUUUGGGGUUAAAGGGGUCGUGAGCUGGGAGGUAAGUCCGCGGGUGAAUGCCCCCGCUCCACAGGGUGAAUUGCCAUUGAUACUGCCUGGCUAGAGUGCGGAUGCGGGGGGAGGAAUGUGUGGUGUAGCGGUGAAAUGCAUAGAUAUCACGCAGAACACCGAUUGCGAAGGCAUCUCAC
rnacentral:rRNA from 1 species